CGCUGCGGACAGCUCAGUAACACGUGGUUAACCUACCCUUGGGACGGAAACAUCCCCGGGAAACUGGGGUUAAUUUCCGAUAGGUGAAGAUCCUGGAAUGGGUCUUCGCUCAAAGGGAGCUUAGAUCAUGCUUCUAGGCCUGCCCAAGGAUGGGACCGCGGUCGAUCAGGUUGUUGGUGAGGUAACGGCUCACCAAGCCUUUAACCGGUAUGGGCCGUGAGAGCGGGAGCCCGGAGAUGGGCACUGAGACAAGGGCCCAGGUCCUACGGGGCGCAGCAGUCGCGAAAACUUCGCAAUACACGAAAGUGUGACGGGGCUAUCCCGAGUGCCGUCCGCUGAGGAUGGCUUUUCUCCAAUGUAGAUAGUUGGGGGAAUAAGGAGAGGGCAAGUCUGGUGUCAGCCGCCGCGGUAAUACCAGCUCUCCGAGUGGUAGGGAUGUUUAUUGGGCCUAAAGCAUCCGUAGCCGGCUGGGCGAGUUCCCUGUGAAAUCCAGCGACUAAUCGUUGGCUUGCAGGGGGUACUGCCCGGCUAGGGGGCGGGAGAGGCCGAUGGUAUUCUCGGGGUAGGGGUGAAAUCCUAUAAUCCCGAGAGGACCACCAGUGGCGAGGGCUGUCGGCUAGAACGCGCUCGACGGUGAGGGAUGAAAGCUGGGGGAGCGAACCGGAUUAGAUACCCGGGUAGUCCCAGCUGUAAACGAUGCAGGCUAGGUGUUAGGGCGGCUACGUGCCGCUCUAGUGCCGCAGGGAAGCCGUUAAGCCUGCCGCCUGGGAUACCGCCGGCUGAACUUAAAGGCCA
rnacentral:rRNA from 1 species